AAGGACUAUACACUUCUGUUCAAACACAAGAUGUCCGAGGGAAUCAAAAAAUACUGAGAGCUUGAAGACUUGUUUAGAGUUUCCUGCCUUAAAGUGAUUAACAAGGUGGAUGUAUUUUGUUGUUUGCAUGGUAUAAGUUUCUGAGGUGCUUUACGAACCAGAAUCUGCCAAACAAACAACCACACGCAUGCGCAACUUGAUCGGCACAGUCUUCGCUGAUGACUUUAUCUCGUCAGAAGGCAAUGGAGUCGGAAAAGACUUAUGGUGAACUUGCUGAGAUUCUCUUGAUUCAUUACUGAAAGGUAUAAUUAUGGUCUUUUUGUUUAAUAUUGUUCUGUACACAGAAUAAUUUGAGCCUGUCCCAAACUUAAAGGGGUAGUUCACUCAAAAAUAAAACUUCUGUGCACAAGAUUUUUUAGAAGAAUAUCUCAGCUCUGUUGGUCCAUACAAUGCAAGGGAAAGGAUACCAACAUUUUAAAACUCCAAAAAGGCAGCAUAAAAGUAGUCCAUAUGACUCCAGUGGUUAAAUCCAUACCUUAGAAGUGAUAUGAUAGGUGUAGGUGAGAAAAAUAUCAAUAUUUAAGUCCUUUUUUAAACUAUCGCUUCAGAAGUAAUAUUUUUAACCACUGCAGUCGUAUAGAUUAGUUCACCCAAAAAUGAAAAUUCUCUCAUCAUUUACUCACCCUCAAUAUAAAUUAAAAUAAUAGUUCAGCCCUGUUGGUCCAUACAAUUCAAGUAAAUGAUAGUUGAUAAAAGUAAUCCAUUCAACUCGAGUGGUUUAAUCAAUGUCUUCUGAGGUGAUCCAGUUGGUUUUGGGUGAGAACAGACCAAAAUAAAAACCCCUUUUCACUGUACAGCUUGCCAUUGCAAUCUCUAAGCACAAUUGCUGGUGCUUAAUGCAUUUGUACAGUGCUAGAGAGCGGUAUAGGAAGUAUAAUCGAGCUUGAAAUCAUGAUCUCCAAGGAGAUUUAUAGUGAAAAAUUAAUUAUAUUUUGGUCUAUUCUCACCAACAAUAAAACCAACUGGAUUACUUCAAAAGAUAUAGAUUUAAGGAGUCGUAUGGAUUACCUUUAUGCUGCCUUUAUGUGCUUUUUGGAGCUAAGGUUUUGGUCCCCAUUCACUUGCAUUGAAUAUUUUUCUAAAAAUCUUUCUGUUCUGCAGAAGAAAGAAAGUCAUACACAUCUGGGAUGGCACGAGAGUGAGUAAAUGAUGAGAGGAUUUUCAUUUUUGAGUGAACUUUCCCUUUAAUGAAAGUUGUAUUCACGUGUCAUGUUAGAAUAUGUUUAUGUCAUUAACCCAGACAGAAUCUGUGCAUGCAGAAAACUCGGCAGGAUUGCAACAUUCAUAAUUUUUAAAUGUUCUACAAAUUCCCUUCACUUGCAAGUCGUUUAUGAAAUAGUUUGGUUAAUUGUGUGUACAGUACUCUCAGGUUCAAUUAACACAUUUAACAUUGUUUAAAUCCCAUCCACCAAAUUCUGCAGAUCUUCCCCCCAAAAAUCUGCUUUGAAUGAGCCAAAAAUGUCUACAGAUGCCAUCUGGGCCAAAGCUUUCCUAUCUUCAUACUAUUGUGAAGGUUACAAAAGCUAUGAAUAUGGGUUGGGAACUGAAGGGUUUUAGAUAAUGCACAAUAUUUAGGACGAAUAACACAUUCAACAUGUUCAACAUAUAACACUAGAUAAAAAAUAUACUUGACAUCAACAUGGUGUCCACACAAAUUGAACCACUGUGCUUUGUGCACUUCCUGUGCUGCUGAGAGAAGACGCCUCAAGAUUCUUCAAAACAUUUGAGGUAAAUUACUUUAUUCACACAUUUCUAAAUCAUUUAACCAUUUUUGAAACUUAAAGGAAUACCUCACCCAAAAAUGAAAAUUCUUUCAUUAUUUACCUCAUGCCAUCCCAGAUGUGUAUGACUUUAUAUAUUCUGCUAAACACAAACGAAGAAUAUCUCAGCUCUGUAGGUCACAAACAAAUAUUUAUAAGAGUAUUUCAGCUCUGU